rnacentral:rRNA from 1 species
UACAGAGGUCUCAAGCGUUGUUCGGAUUCAUUGGGCGUAAAGGGUGCGUAGGCGGCGCGGUAAGUCGGGUGUGAAAUCUCGGAGCUUAACUCCGAAACUGCAUUCGAUACUGCCGUGCUUGAGGACUGGAGAGGAGACUGGAAUUUACGGUGUAGCGGUGAAAUGCGUAGAUAUCGGGAGGAACACCGGUGGCGAAGGCGGCCUUCUGGACGGAUACUGACGCUGAGACGCGAAAGCGUGGGGAGCAAACAGG